ACGCGAAAGGCCCCUUCGGGGGCCGAGUAGAGUGGCGUCCGGGUGAGUAACACGUAGGUAAUCUACCUUUGGGUGGGGAAUAACGACCGGAAACGGUCGCUAAUACCGCAUAAUGCAGCGGCACCACAUGGUGACAGUUGUUAAAGCGGGGGAUCGCAAGACCUCGCGCCUAAAGAGGAGCCUGCGGCGGAUUAGCUAGUUGGCAGGGUAACGGCCUACCAAGGCGACGAUCCGUAGCCGGCCUGAGAGGGCGGUCGGCCACACUGGCACUGACACACGGGCCAGACUCCUACGGGAGGCAGCAGUCGGGAAUUUUGGGCAAUGGGCGAAAGCCUGACCCAGCAACGCCGCGUGAAGGAUGAAGCUUUUCGGAGUGUAAACUUCAUAAGAAUGGGACGAAUAAGGAGGGGCUAAUACCCCCUUUGAUGACGGUACCAUUUGUAAGCUCCGGCUAACUCCGUGCCAGCAGCCGCGGUAAUACGGGGGGAGCAAGCGUUG
rnacentral:rRNA from 1 species